UACGUAGGAUGCAAGCGUUGUCCGGAAUUAUUGGGCGUAAAGAGCGCGCAGGCGGUAUGACAAGUCAGAUGUGAAAGAGGCCGGCUUAACCGGCAAGGGUCAUUUGAAACUGUCAGACUAGAGUGCAGCAGAGGAUAGUGGAAUUCCCGGUGUAGUGGUGAAAUGCGUAGAUAUCGGGAGGAACACCAGUGGCGAAGGCGGGUCUCUGGGCAACAACUGACGCUGAGGAGCGAAAGCGUGGGGAGCGAACAGG
rnacentral:rRNA from 1 species